rnacentral:rRNA from 1 species
UACGUAGGGGGCAAGCGUUGUCCGGAAUCAUUGGGCGUAAAGAGCGUGUAGGCGGCUCGAUAAGUCUGCUGUGAAAGUCCAGGGCUCAACCCUGGAAGGCCGGUGGAAACUGUCGGGCUAGAGUCCGGAAGAGGCGAGUGGAAUUCCCGGUGUAGCGGUGAAAUGCGCAGAUAUCGGGAGGAACACCAAUGGCGAAGGCAGCUCGCUGGGCAUUACCUGACGCUGAGGAGCGAAAGCAUGGGGAGCGAACAGG